rnacentral:rRNA from 1 species
AUGUCCGGCCAUAUAUAGCAAUGAAAGUUUUCGCAUCCCAUCCGCUCUGCGGUAAAAACAACCAUUGAAUCGCCUAGCUAGUACUAGGGUGUGCGACCAAGUGAGAAUCCCGGGCGCUGAAACUC